rnacentral:rRNA from 1 species
CAUGCAAGUCGAACGGCAGCACGGGAGCAAUCCUGGUGGCGAGUGGCGAACGGGUGAGUAAUACAUCGGAACGUGCCCAAUCGUGGGGGAUAACGCAGCGAAAGCUGUGCUAAUACCGCAUAAGAUCUAAGGAUGAAAGCAGGGGACCGCAAGGCCUUGCGCGAAUGGAGCGGCCGAUGGCAGAUUAGGUAGUUGGUGAGGUAAAGGCUCACCAAGCCUUCGAUCUGUAGCUGGUCUGAGAGGACGACCAGCCACACUGGGACUGAGACACGGCCCAGACUCCUACGGGAGGCAGCAGUGGGGAAUUUUGGACAAUGGGCGCAAGCCUGAUCCAGCCAUGCCGCGUGCAGGAUGAAGGCCUUCGGGUUGUAAACUGCUUUUGUACGGAACGAAAAGGUUCUUUCUAAUAAAGAGAGCUCAUGACGGUACCGUAAGAAUAAGCACCGGCUAACUACGUGCCAGCAGCCGCGGUAAUACGUAGGGUGCAAGCGUUAAUCGGAAUUACUGGGCGUAAAGCGUGCGCAGGCGGUGAUGUAAGACAGUUGUGAAAUCCCCGGGCUCAACCUGGGAACUGCAUCUGUGACUGCAUCGCUGGAGUACGGUAGAGGGGGAUGGAAUUCCGCGUGUAGCAGUGAAAUGCGUAGAUAUGCGGAGGAACACCGAUGGCGAAGGCAAUCCUCCUGGACCUGUACUGACGCUCA